CUUCUACAUCAUUCUUCCAAUUUUCUUUCUCGAGCAAAACUAGGGCUACAGUCUACAGAAGAGGCGGCUCUGAAAUUAUCUCAACUUCAACUUUCUUCCAUCUACUUUUAGUCUACAACCCUUCUCCUACAUCACCACCAUCAUCUCCAAGUGUUGUUGAUUUUGGUUGAAAAUCAAAUGGAUUCUACAGAUGUCCUUGGUUAUAUGACCAUUUAUGGGGAAGAAUGAAGAUCAGAGUGCAGCUAGGGGAGUUAAUAGUUGAAGGGUGUGUUACCAGUACCACUCAAUGAGGCUUUGUCAGACUCCAAUGGCUAACAGUUGAACGCUUUCCCUUAGGCCUUUGUUUCUUACUUGCCUAAGUUGCAGCUUGCGUGACUUUCAGAUCAAUUGAUCAGCGAUUUUAGGUUUUGGAUUUCAUUCACGUUUUAGUUCAAGUUUCCACAUUCUGGAUACAGAUACAUAGAGGAAAGUCAUUCAUUAUUCUUUGUUGUGCACAUAGAUUCUAAUUAAUAAUUUAUAAAAAUUCAUUAUUUAUAGUAAAA